AUUCAUUUAAGUUAGUGGGAGCAAUAUGCAUUCAAAUCAAGAAAAUAUAAUUGUUAUUUUUUGAAUGAAUGCUAAGUUACAACAAGGCCAGUGGGAGUGAUGUCAUAAUUUGAGCAACAAGAUGUGAAUAAAGUCUAUUUGAUAGACUUGAUAAAACAUAGAUGUUACUCGAGAAAUGACAAAACAUGACACGGUCAAUUUUGAAGUAUAGACUUGAAAUUGGACUUAUUGAUAUAGCAAGGCUA
rnacentral:lncRNA from 1 species